rnacentral:rRNA from 1 species
UACGUAGGGUGCGAGCGUUAAUCGGAAUUACUGGGCGUAAAGCGUGCGCAGGCGGUAAUGCAAGACAGAUGUGAAAUCCCCGGGCUUAACCUGGGGAACUGCAUUUGUGACUGCAUUGCUGGAGUGCGGCAGAGGGGGAUGGAAUUCCGGCGUGUAGCAGUGAAAUGCGUAGAUAUGCGGAGGAACACCGAUGGCGAAGGCAAUCCCCUGGGCCUGCACUGACGCUCAUGCACGAAAGCGUGGGGAGCAAACAGG